rnacentral:rRNA from 1 species
GAGCGGCGGACGGGUGAGUAACGCGUGGGUGACCUGCCCCAUACCGGGGGAUAACAGCUGGAAACGGCUGCUAAUACCGCAUAAGCGCACAGAGCCGCAUGGCUCGGUGUGAAAAACUCCGGUGGUAUGGGAUGGGCCCGCGUCUGAUUAGGCAGUUGGCGGGGUAACGGCCCACCAAACCGACGAUCAGUAGCCGGCCUGAGAGGGUGAACGGCCACAUUGGGACUGAGACACGGCCCAAACUCCUACGGGAGGCAGCAGUGGGGAAUAUUGCACAAUGGGGGAAACCCUGAUGCAGCGACGCCGCGUGGAGGAAGAAGGUCUUCGGAUUGUAAACUCCUGUUGUUGGGGAAGAUAAUGACGGUACCCAACAAGGAAGUGACGGCUAACUACGUGCCAGCAGCCGCGGUAAAACGUAGGUCACAAGCGUUGUCCGGAAUUACUGGGUGUAAAGGGAGCGCAGGCGGGAAGACAAGUUGGAAGUGAAAUCUAUGGGCUCAACCCAUAAACUGCUUUCAAAACUGUUUUUCUUGAGUAGUGCAGAGGUAGGCGGAAUUCCCGGUGUAGCGGUGGAAUGCGUAGAUAUCGGGAGGAACACCAGUGGCGAAGGCGGCCUACUGGGCACCAACUGACGCUGAGGCUCGAAAGUGUGGGUAGCAAACAGAAUUAGAUACCCUGGUAGUCCACACCGUAAACGAUGAUUACUAGGUGUUGGAGGAUUGACCCCUUCAGUGCCGCAGUUAACACAAUAAGUAAUCCACCUGGGGAGUACGACCGCAAGGUUGAAACUCAAAGGAAUUGACGGGGGCCCGCACAAGCAGUGGAGUAUGUGGUUUAAUUCGACGCAACGCGAAGAACCUUACCAAGUCUUGACAUCCCUUGACAGGCAUAGAAAUAUGUUUUCUCUUCGGAGCAAGGAGACAGGUGGUGCAUGGUUGUCGUCAGCUCGUGUCGUGAGAUGUUGGGUUAAGUCCCGCAACGAGCGCAACCCUUGUGAUAUGUUACUAACAUUGAGUUGAGGACUCAUAUCAGACUGCCGGUGAUAAACCGGAGGAAGGUGGGGAUGACGUCAAAUCAUCAUGCCCCUUAUGGCCUGGGCUACACACGUACUAUAAUGGCGUCUACAAAGAGCGGCAAGCCUGUGAAGGCAAGCGAAUCUCAUAAAGGACGUCUCAGUUCGGAUUGAAGUCUGCAACCCGACUUCAUGAAGCUGGAAUCGCUAGUAAUCGCGAAUCAGCAUGUCGCGGUGAAUACGUUCUCGGGCCUUGCACACACCGCCCGUCA